CACAUGUUUGCAAAUGACAAAAUUUAACACAAAAAGAGGGAAAAAAAAAAAAAAAAGGAAAAAAAAAAGUCACGGAUCAAAUCACCCAAUAUCUCCCACGCCGCCACUGUAAUUCACAAAUUCAGUGACCAAAAACAAACAAAACCAAAAACCAAAAUCCCCAAACCAGAAAAAGAAAAGAAAAGAAAAUCACAAAAAAUAUAAAACAAAGCGAAGUCCAUUUCUUCUCUGUCUUCUUUCUCUCUCUCUCUCUGCUCUGUCUAUGGUCUAUAAAAGCUACUACACCUUUUCCGAUGACCUCCGGGGGCCGUAAUUACUGAAACAAAGGCUGCUCCUGCUGCUUUUAACUGGCCACAUGUCCGACAACGAUGUCGUUUCGGGGACUUUCCGAGCGCUGGUGGAGAGCGCGGACCGGAAGUUCGCUAGGGUUCGCGACGUGCCGGCGUACGGACGUGUCCACAACCAGCACUACUUCCACAAGGUCUUCAAGGCCUACAUGCGCCUCUGGAAGUACCAGCAGGAGAAACGGUCCAAGCUUAUCGAGGCCGGUCUGAACCGCUGGGAAAUCGGCGAGAUCGCGAGCCGGAUCGGCCAGCUCUACUUCGGCCAGUACAUGAGGACCAGCGAGGCCAGGUUCCUCGUCGAGGCCUACGUCUUCUACGAGGCCAUUCUUAGCCGGAGCUACUUUGAGGGGUCCAAUUCCAGUUCCAAAGCUUUCGGGAAGAAGGAUCUCGGCGUUCGGUUCAAGGAGUUGAGGUUCUACGCCCGGUUUUUGCUCGUUUCGUUGAUUUUGAACCGGACCGAGAUGGUUCAACUUCUCGCUGAGCGGUUCAAGGCUCUUGUUGAUGACUGCAAAGCCAAUUAUCGGGAAACUAAUUUUAAAGAAUGGAGGCUAGUGGUGCAAGAAAUUGUUCGAUUUAUGAAAGUUGAUACGGCCUUUAUGAAUGUCAGGCCAUUGCGAUACUCCACCUUGUUUGAUUCACAUCCGUCAUCUCUUCCAUAUGUGGCUCGUUUCCAUGCAAAGAGGGUUUUAAAAUUUCAAGAUGCAUUGCUGACAAGCUAUCAUCGUAAUGAGGUCAAAUUUGCUGAACUUACAUUGGACACUUACCGAAUGCUGCAAUGUUUGGAAUGGGAGCCAAGCGGGUCUUUCUACCAAAAGCGUGCAGUGGAAUCCAAAGAGAAUGGCACUUUUAUUGAUCACUCCGGGGCUUCUGCCGCAUCUGGAGUAAUCGAUAUGAACUUGGCUGCGGACAUGACUGAUCCAACUUUACCUCCAAAUCCAAGGAAAGCGGUUAUUUACCGUCCAUCUGUGACACAUUUGAUUGCGGUGAUGGCUACAAUAUGCGAGGAGCUCCCUCUCGACAGUAUUAUGCUAGUGUAUCUGUCAGCCUCAGGGAAGGCUGGUCGUAAUAAUGUUACUCAGGCGUACAACUCUGGAGGAUCACAUAAAUCCUCAAAAAAUAAAGUUCCUCUCCCAGCUCAGAAUAAUUCUAUGCCUGAAUCUUGUAUAAACAACAAGGGAGAGUCAAGUGGCUAUUAUGACCAAUAUUUGUGGUUUGGCCCUAGAGGAAAUGGUGGUUUGAGUAACCUCUACCCUGGCGACAUAAUUCCUUUUACUCGGAGACCUCUUUUCUUGAUAAUAGAUAGUGACAACAGCCAUGCAUUCAAGGCAGGUUUUACAUGGUGCGGAAAGAGGAGAGACAGCUGCUCUGUUUCUUUCACCUUUGAGACCAGCAUUCAAGAACCCAGCUGAUGCUGAUUUGAUGCAAAAUGGAAGUCAGUUUACCUUUUUCUUGACUGCUCCUCUGUCAGCAUUCUGCCAAUUAGUUGGCUUCUCCUCUUCUGAUACUGAAGCAGAGGUUUAUAACAAUGCUGAAAGCAUCCUCUCUGCUGCCUUCUCUGAGUGGGAAGUUAUUCUUUGUACAUCAACAAGCCUGGAUCUGGUAUGGGCACAAGUUAUUUCUGAUCCAUUUCUGCGGCGACUUAUUCUGAGAUUUAUUUUCUGCAGAGCUGUGCUUUCAUUCUUCUGUCCUCCAGAAGAUAGCGAGCAGUAUUUGCCGAUUUGCCUACCUCUUCUUCCCAUUUCUGUUUCUCCAGAUUCUGAAGUUGUGCAGUCUGCCGUCCACCGGGUUGCAAAGCACCUCAACGUCUCUGACUUUUUUCACUUUGUUGACACAUGAUUACUUGAUUAGAUAUCAAAGCUAGAUUGUAAGUAUAGCAUUGCAUCUUCUGGGGGUUAACGUCUCGUAUAUCCGGUUUGACCACAGCACAGAUCAAUCAACUGGGCUUAUUGGGUUUGAGAAGAUACUGGUUGAUAAGCGCAAAAUAUAGAGAAAAUGUUUGAGCGUGGUCAUGCAGCCCUGUUGUUUCUCGAUGAUGUAUGGUGGUUUAGUUGUAUGAUCAUUAUAGUACGGUGUGAACUUUGCCAGGUGAAACUUUGGAGCUUUUUCAAAUUACAUAUAAUUGUCAAUACCUUUGUAAAAGAAAAUCAGCUAGUGAAAUGAGAUAUAAAUUUUUUUUUCUUUCUAGCCUUUCUUGGCGGCACCGUUACAUUCUUGGUGAAGCUUAGGUAGAUGUAAACAGGUACCGAGGAGUUUAUUGAAGGCCUCUGGUACUGAUUCUAGAAUUCGAUUUGAGUUUUUGGUUUGUAUUGUUUUAGUUUUUACUAUUGCUCAUUUUUGCCGGGGGACUUGGUAUAAAAGGCUUUCUUUGUUCUUUAAA